rnacentral:rRNA from 1 species
UACAGAGGUCUCAAGCGUUGUUCGGAUUCAUUGGGCGUAAAGGGUGCGUAGGUGGCGUGGUAAGUCGGGUGUGAAAUUUCGGAGCUUAACUCCGAAACUGCAUUCGAUACUGCCGUGCUUUGAGGACUGGAGAGGAGACUGGAAUUUACGGUGUAGCAGUGAAAAUGCGUAGAUAUCGUAAGGAAGACCAGUGGCGAAGGCGGGUCUCUGGACAUUCCUGACACUGAGGCACGAAGGCCAGGGGGAG